CAACAGGGAUUGCCCCAGUAACGGCGAGUGAAGCGGCAACAGCUCAAAUUUGAAAUCUGGCCCCUCCCACGGGGGGGCCCGAGUUGUAAUUUGCAGAGGAUGCUUCUGGCGAGGUGCCUUCCGAGUUCCCUGGAACGGGACGCCACAGAGGGUGAGAGCCCCGUCUGGUCGGACACCGAGCCUCUGUGAAGCUCCUUCGACGAGUCGAGUAGUUUGGGAAUGCUGCUCUAAAUGGGAGGUAUAUGUCUUCUAAAGCUAAAUACCGGCCAGAGACCGAUAGCGCACAAGUAGAGUGAUCGAAAGAUGAAAAGCACUUUGAAAAGAGGGUUAAACAGUACGUGAAAUUGUUGAAAGGGAAGCGCUCACGACCAGACCUGGUCCCGGCGAAUCACCCGGCGUUCUCGCCGGUGCACUUCGGCGGGCUUCCAGGCCAGCAUCAGUCCGCGCCGGGGGACAAAGGCGGUGGGAACGUGGCUCCCCAGGGAGUGUUAUAGCCCGCCGCGCAAUGCCCCGGGGGCGGACUGAGGACCGCGCGUCUACCGCAAGGAUGCUGGCGUAAUGGUCGUCAGCGACCCGUCUUGAAACACGGACCAAGGAGUCGUCCUCGUAUGCGAGUGUUGGGGCGUCAAACCCCCCGCGCGUAAUGAAAGUGAACGGCAGGUGAGAGCCCUCGCGGGCGCAUCAUCGACCGAUCCUGAUGUUCUCGGAUGGAUUUGAGUAGGAGCAUACGGGGCCGGACCCGAAAGAAGGUGAACUAUGCCUGUGUAGGGUGAAGCCAGAGGAAACUCUGGUGGAGGCUCGCAGCGGUUCUGACGUGCAAAUCGAUCGUCAAACAUGGGCAUGGGGGCGAAAGACUAU
rnacentral:rRNA from 1 species